CCUACGGGAGGCUGCAGUGAGGAAUAUUGGUCAAUGGCCGCAGGGCUGAACCAGCCAAGUCGCGUGAGGGAUGACGGUCCUAUGGAUUGUAAACCUCUUUUGUCAGGGAGCAAAGGGCGCCACGUGUGGCGCUUUGCGAGUACCUGAAGAAAAAGCAUCGGCUAACUCCGUGCCAGCAGCCGCGGUCAUACGGAGGAUGCGAGCGUUAUCCGGAUUUAUUGGGUUUAAAGGGUGCGCAGGCGGAAUGUCAAGUCAGCGGUAAAAUUUCGGGGCUCAACCCCGUCGUGCCGUUGAAACUGGCGUUCUUGAGUGAGCGAGAAGUAUGCGGAAUGCGUGGUGUAGCGGUGAAAUGCAUAGAUAUCACGCAGAACUCCGAUUGCGAAGGCAGCAUACCGGCGCUCAACUGACGCUCAUGCACGAAAGCGUGGGUAUCGAACAGGAUUAGAUACCCUAGUAGUC
rnacentral:rRNA from 1 species